rnacentral:rRNA from 1 species
UACAGAGGGUGCGAGCGUUGUCCGGAAUCACUGGGCGUAAAGGGCGCGUAGGCGGUCUCUUAAGCGUGUGGUGAAAGCCCGGGGCUCAACUCCGGGUCGGCCGUGCGAACUGGGGGACUGGAGCUUGUCAGAGGCAGGCGGAAUUCCGGGUGUAGCGGUGGAAUGCGUAGAGAUCCGGAAGAACACCAGUGGCGAAGGCGGCUCACUGGUCCGGUACUGACGCUGAGGUGCGAAAGCGUGGGGAGCAAACAGG